GUCACGUAGGUUCAGUGGGCGGAAGAGGUGGCCCCGGAUGCUGCGGCGCCCGCUGGCCGGGCUGGCAGCGGCCGCCCUGGGCCGGGCCCCGCCGGACGGCAUGUCGGGCCCCAGGCCUGUGGUGCUGAGCGGGCCUUCGGGAGCUGGGAAGAGCACCCUGCUGAAGAGGCUGUUCCAGGAGCACAGCGGCAUCUUUGGCUUCAGCGUGUCCCAUACCACAAGGAACCCGAGGCCCGGCGAGGAGAACGGCAAAGGGAGGUGAUGCAGCGUGACAUAGCAGCCGGCGACUUCAUCGAGCAUGCCGAGUUCUCGGGGAACCUGUAUGGCACGAGCAAGGCGGCGGUGCAGGCCGUGCAGGCCAUGAACCGCAUCUGCGUGCUGGACGUGGACCUGCAGGGUGUGCGGAACAUCAAGGCCACCGAUCUGCGGCCCAUCUACAUCUCUGUGCAGCCGCCUUCACUGCAUGUGCUGGUGUGUGCUGGGCAGGGUUGGGGGCUGGGGGCCAGGGCAUGCCAGGCUCUGAUUGCCACCCCCUUUUUAGGAGCAGCGGCUGCGGCGGCGCAACACUGAAACGGAGGAGAGCCUGGCGAAGCGGCUGGCUGCUGCCCAGGCCGACAUGGAGAGCAGAAAUCAAGAAAGCUCAAAGGACCGGCGCCUGAGGCUUGCUCUCUGUUCUCGGCACCCCGGGCCCAUACAGGACCAGGGCAGCAGCACUGAGCCGCCCCCUUGGCAGGCAAUAUGGCAGCUCUGUGCCCUUGGCCAGCAUGUGGAGUGGAGGGGAUGCUGCCCCUGUGGUUGGAACAUCCUGGGGUGACCCCCGACCCAGCCCCACCGGGCUGUCCCC
rnacentral:sRNA from 1 species